GUUUAAUUGAGUUGUGGGCAUUCCCCCCGCCCCCCUCUGGUUUGAGACGGCAGUUGAUUCUAGGUUGUUCACGUUUUCCUUGGAUAUUGGUAGCUAGAAAAGGCACUUGGUCUGCUUGUAUGGGGACCGCAGUCACUCCCUACCUUCCAGGUAGCAAAUGUAUUUUGAGUGACCUUGUGUGACUGUGGACUCGCUCUCUCGCACAGAUGUACUUUCUGACCCACCUGGCCUUUCAGUUGUAACUCAGAGACUAACGGAAUCUUCCUGAUUGGUGCUUUAGACUUUGGGUGUUUUUGUUUUUUGUUUUUUUGUUUGUUUGCUUGUUUUUUGUUUUCCGGGUUUUUGUAUGUUUUGUUUUGUUUUUUCAGCUUUCUUUUGGCCAAGCUCCACGGAGAAGGCAAGGCUUCCCACUGUAUGGAUGAGGAACCGGAAGCCAAAGAAAGGGGAUGCUGGGCUGUGCUCAGUGAUACCCCGAGGAUACCCAAGGGGCCUCAAAGGAGACACAGCCGGCACUGACACAUGUUCUGAGCGCCCCACUUAGCAAAGGAUGAAAGAUGGAGUUGUAACCGCUGGGAGAAACAUGUGGGGGACCUGUCACUGUGUGGAUUUCCCUUCUCAGCUGAAAGGUCUUCAAAGUGCCUGUGAGGAGCAUGCCAAGGAAAAUCAACAGCCAUUCUCCCACCGAAAUGACAGAGCAGGCAUCCUUCUUGCUCUCCUAAUUGAUAUCAUUGUGACUGCUUUUCCAUAAAAUUAUCCCCAGACAGGUUCUCAGAGCUGUCACCAAGCCAUUUGAAAUUUUGCAUGAAGCACGUCUCUGUAUGUGUUGCCUCUCUGCAUGACUUCUUUCUUUUCCUUCUUUGGGCCUGGCUUUUACAAAAUGUCUUUUGUACUCUUCACAGAAGAGAAUAACUUCUGACCUCACUGUCUGCCUGGGUCUGAUCCCUGGGCAUUUCAUUUGGCAAUCCCAGGGUAACAGUCGAAUGAUAAGAUGUAAAGGUUUUAAGAAAUGAGUCUUGGACUUCCCUGAGUCCAGUGAGAAAGGGAUUUUUCUUUGUUUUAAAGUACUCUUUCCUCCUCAGAUGUUUCUUUGGUGGAUUCUUGGAUAUCUGGAGCUCUGCUGAGCUCCCUCCUUCUUGGUUUCCUGCUCCCAACAAAUAAUAAUUAUUAUUUUUUCCAUACAAAGUGACUUUGGGGUUGUCCUUAUCUGAUGCUGAAGUUCCAAAAUGCCCAGUAUGGCACACGCUUGAGAUCUCAGCACUUGGGAGGUGAAGCAGGAGUUCAAGGUACUUAGGAAGCUCAGUACCAGCCUGGGUUAUUUGAGGCCCUGUCUCAAAACAAAAACAAAAACUGAAACAGUUCCCU
rnacentral:lncRNA from 1 species